CAGCCGCCGCGGGAAUACGAAGGGGGCUAGCGUUGCUCGGAAUGACUGGGCGUAAAGGGCGCGUAGGCGGCGAUCAAAGUCAGGCGUGAAAUUCCUGGGCUCAACCUGGGGGCUGCGCUUGAUACUUGGUUGCUUGAGUGGGGAAGAGGGUCGUGGAAUUCCCAGUGUAGAGGUGAAAUUCGUAGAUAUUGGGAAGAACACCGGUGGCGAAGGCGGCGACCUGGUCCUUGACUGACGCUGAGGCGCGAAAGCGUGGGGAGCAAACAGGAUUAGAUACCCCUGUAGUCCCUGUCUCUUAUAC
rnacentral:rRNA from 1 species